rnacentral:misc_RNA from 1 species
CUGUGAGGACGUAACAACUGUGAUGUUCAUGUCAUGAGCAAGCCUAUAAAGUUGUUCCUCGACAUCAACACUCGUGGCAUUCGUACACUCAUCAAGAAUACCAAAUUUAGGCUUGUGAAAGAAUAGCCGCGCCUUGCAAAACAAAAACACGUCAAACAGUGGAUUAAUCCAAUUGUACAAUUCUGUUCUUCCUCCACAUACGUUUGAAGAUGACAAUAAUUAGCUUUACUCACCAUACCUAAUCUCUGUUGUUCUCCAAGA